rnacentral:rRNA from 1 species
AUUGAACGCUGGCGGCAGGCCUAACACAUGCAAGUCGAACGAGUGGCGGACGGGUGAGUAAUGUCUGGGAAACUGCCUGAUGUAGGGGGAUAACUACUGGAAACGUUAGCUAAUACCGCAUAACAUCAGAUGUGCCCCGAUGGGAUUAGCUAGGUGGGGGGGUAACGGCUCACCAAGGCGACGAUCCCUAGCUGGUCGGAAAGGAUGACCAGCCACACUUGAACUGAGACACGGUCCAGCCUCCUACGGGAGGCAGCAGUGGGGAAUAGUGCAUCAUGGGCGCAAGCCUGAUGCAGCCAUGCCGCGUGUAUGAAGAAGGCCUUCGGGUUGUAAAGUACUUUCAGCGGGGAGGCGUUACCCGCAGAAGAAGCACCGGCUAACUCCGUGCCAGCCGCCGCGGUAAUUC